CGGGACGGGUGAGUAAUGUCUGGGAAACGUGCCUGAUGGAGGGGGAUAACUACUGGAAACGGUAACUAAUACCGCAUAACGUCGCAAGACCAAAGAGGGGGACCUUCGGGCCUCUUGCCAUCGGAUGUGCCCAGAUGGGAUUAGCUAGUAGGUGGGGUAACGGCUCACCUAGGCGACGAUCCCUAGCUGGUCUGAGAGGAUGACCAGCCACACUGGAACUGAGACACGGUCCAG
rnacentral:rRNA from 1 species